GCGAGAGUGGUGAAAUUGGUAGACACGCUAGCCUUAGGAGCUAGUGCCGCAGGCAUAAGGGUUCGAGUCCCUUCUCUCGCAC
rnacentral:tRNA from 1 species